GCGAGUGAAGCGGCAAAAGCUCAAAUUUGAAAUCUGGCGCCUUCGGUGUCCGAGUUGUAAUUUGAAGAAGGUAACUUUGGAGUUGGCUCUUGUCUAUGUUCCUUGGAACAGGACGUCACAGAGGGUGAGAAUCCCGUGCGAUGAGAUGCCCAAUUCUAUGUAAAGUGCUUUCGAAGAGUCGAGUUGUUUGGGAAUGCAGCUCUAAGUGGGUGGUAAAUUCCAUCUAAAGCUAAAUAUUGGCGAGAGACCGAUAGCGAACAAGUACAGUGAUGGAAAGAUGAAAAGAACUUUGAAAAGAGAGUGAAAAAGUACGUGAAAUUGUUGAAAGGGAAGGGCUUGAGAUCAGACUUGGUAUUUUGCGAUCCUUUCCUUCUUGGUUGGGUUCUCCGCAGCUUACUGGGCCAGCAUCGGUUUGGAUGGUAGGAUAAUGAUUAAGGAAUGUGGCUCUACUUCGGUGGAGUGUUAUAGCCUUGGUUGAUACUGCCUGUCUAGACCGAGGACUGCGUCUUUGACUAGGAUGCUGGCAUAAUGAUCUUAAGCCACCC
rnacentral:rRNA from 1 species